GGGAUUGGAAUAAUUCAAACUUCGUUCUAUAAUCCUAAUGCUUUUUUAAGCUAUGAUGAUAAACGUUAAUCAAAAUAAGCGUAGCGGACCCGGGGGCAGUACCCGGCGCCUCCACCAAAUAAUAACUUUUAUGGGGGCGAAUCAGGCUCGACGCGCGUAGUAAAAGUUUAAUUUUCAUUCGGCAUGGUACCCACCGUUAUCGGACCAAAUUUUAGGUGCCAACGAUAAUAGAAUGGCCCUCGCUGCUUAAUAUUUAAGCAAGCGCGGUUUGGGAGACACCGGGCAACAGAAGUCUCCUAUA
rnacentral:tmRNA from 1 species